UGUAAAGUGUGAUACACCAGCAAUUGUGCUUUGGCAUUUUUUUGCAUGAUAGGGCUCCCUAUCGAUUUUCAUGCUAUGUCAUGUGAUCUCCAUAUGUCCAGCUGAAGUUUCUGGCCUGAUGCAAUUUGCACUUCUGUAUUGAUUCAGAACUCUGCAAAUUUCCAGUUGUGGAAAGUCAGAGGUUUCAAUCCUAUGAUGAUGCCCACAAAAGACCUUGUGUCACUGGGGCAGCUGAUCUUUCUCUCUUGAAAGCGCUUUAAAUGUCAACGCUCCAUUCAACGUUUUAACAAAUAUUAUCCCUUUCUGACAGUAGUACUUCAAGAAGUGAAUAAUUCAACAUCUUGACUUUUGCCCCUUUGUCAUAAAGAGCUGUCACAUGCAAAUUCCACAGUAAUUACAGGAAGAUGGAUUGCUUGCUUGCAAACAUCCCAUCGUGUCAUAUCUUUAAAUAUUUAAAUAUAUUCAGUUCACUGCAUGUAUGUAUUCUUCAUUUAGGGAUUAGCUGAGAUAGAAAUGUCUGUGCACCCUGACAUAAUUAAAUGUUAUGGGUAAUGCACAGUCGUGGGUUGCCCCCUGUUCGGACCGGUUCUAUAGAACCGGUAGUAAAACUAGCAGGAGGCUCUGCCACUGACCUGAACACCAUCAAAAGUGAUGUGCGCAUGCAAGCGGAGUGAGCGUGCGUGCGUGGGCACAAUGCGAACCGGUAGUAAAGAUAAGUAGAACCCACCCCUGCGAUAAAGGCUAAUUCAGUGAUGAUCUAUUUGCUUCUAAUUGCAGUUUCCAAACAUGAAUAGUAAUGGCAUCACAUUCAUAUAUUCAGAGGUGGUAUUCAGCCAACUCGGACUGGUUUGGGCAAACCGGUAGUGGAGAUCGCGGGUGGGUCUGCCCCCAUACCCCAGUGGUAUGCCAUCCUAAUUAGGCAUGGUUUUGAGGCCAGGCGCAUGCACGGAAGACGAACAGGUGAGCAAAGUGCAUGUGCAGAAGGCUGUGGAAGCUGCACACAUGCAGCGAACCGGUGGUAACAAAAUGUGAAAGCCACCACUGCAUAUGUUCCUUAAAAUCUCAGGACCAACUUUCAUAAAUAAAAAGAGAGAAAGGUAUAGCAAUGAAGGAUUAACAGUCCUUUAACUCCUUGCACAUUAUUAAUGGAAUUGCACAAUUGUCAUAUGAACAGACCUCCUUUCUCACGCUUAAAAAAAGCCUGAUCGCUAACCGAUACAUUGCCUUGUAUUGCUUCUUUACCUUCCUAUCUGCUUUUCCCCCCCCUCAGCUUCCUGUCUUCAAGCAAAUAUAUGAUAUGAAGCAGAAGGCACUUGCUUUGACCAAUGGAAGAUCUUUGGAGAUUUUGUUUACUUAUUUAAAGGGCUUCUGUGCUACUCCAGUUGAUAACUGACUCAAGAGCGGCUUACACUUUCUACUUUUGUAAAUAAGGUUAAAUCAAGAUAGCAUCGGUUGACAAUAUCUUAUAAUAAGCACCAUGCAACACAGUUUGGUGCCAGAGAUAAAGGAAAGGACACUGCUUCAGUCCAGCCUCCCUCUCCUCCAAAUUAAGAGGGAACAGUUCACAUUUUUACCCCUAAUAUCUGCUUAAAAGCUCAGAUUUUCAUGGCCUUUCUAAAGCCUAGCAAAGCACACGAGAUAUUUAAAAAGCAGACCUAAGAAGUUUGGUCCAGUGGUGAAGGCUUCAGGCUAGAAACCAGGAGAUGGUGAAUUCUAGUCUUUGUCUUAGGCAUGAAAGCCUGCUGGAUAAGUUUGGGCCAUUCAGCAGGUGACGGUGAGAUCUAAUUCUACUUUAGGCAUGAAAUCUGGCUGGGUGACCUUAGAUCUGUCAGUACAACCAGUGGUGGGAUUCAGCCAGUUUGGGAGAACCGGUUGUUAACUUUCUGAGCAGUUUGGCAAACUGGUUGUUGGAAGAAAUCAUUAGGGCAGAGAAUUGAUUGUUAAAUUACUUGAAUCCCUCCACUGAGGAUGGAGGGAUGAGGGCCUUGCCCCUCCCAAGAGUCCCCAUGCAGCCCGUUUUGGAUGCAGGUAAGUGCAGAGUGUGUGCAGAGGCUCAGGGAGGGUGAAAAACGGGCCUACCGGAAAUUCGGGAAGCCCCAGGGCCUCUGGAGUCUGGGGAGGCCAUUUUCACUCUCCCAGAGGCUUGAGAAAAGCCUCUGGAGCCCGGGGAGGGCAAAAAUACCCCCCCCCCGCCAUGGUGCAGGAGGCCGACUAGGCCACGCCCACCAUGGCCACGCCCACCUAGCAACCAGGCAGAGAACCCCUUGCUAAAAAUUUUAAAGCCUACCCCUGGACAGGGUUGUUGUGGGGAAAAUAGUGGGAGGAAGGAAUAUUAGGAAUGUUUGAGUUACUAAUAAAGGAAUAAAAGUGGGUUUAAAACAACAACAAUAAUAAAAAAGAUAUGGGAAGCCCCGUCCUGCAGUGAUGUCAUUCCACAAGUCUCUCCUUUACAUGCCUUGUCCCGAUACUGUUGCAGCCUGGAUCUUAAAGAGUGACAUCACUGCCUAUGCUCAGACAGAUAAUCUAUUGUUUGCUAGUGAAAAAACAAGUCAGCCACUUCCUCCCUGCUUUCUAACAACCAUCAGACCGACUAACUUAUUUUCUGAGGCUGAUUGCCAAUUACCAGCCAAGAACAGAGACUGGCUGCUGGCUUUCUUUCUUUUUUCUUUUUUAAAUCUGGCAAGGAAUAAUUAAACUGUCAUUUAUUUAUUUUUCAGACUGGAAUAGAAAAACAGAAAUCCAGGGAUCAAGUUGUGUCAGCGGAUGCCAGGCGGCGAAAGACCAGGUCCACAAGGAAGGAAGUAUUUCGGAGAACUUGCCUUUGAUCCACUUGUGAAAAGGAACGUUUGCUUAUCCGUAAAACCAUCCACUCAAACUGACAAAGCUGUUUCAACAAACUGCUCUUGAUAACUUCAUAUCUGGAGUCUCUAGGCUGCUUGUACUGUAUUUCUUUCACCAUUACAUUUCGUUUUUGGCACCGUUGUUUAAAAACAGCGAUUUCCCAAUACUUUUGACCUAGAAAUUCAGCUAAAUGUAUGUAUUUCCCUGGAAAGCUUUCAGAAUAUGUGACAGUGUGUCAUGCUGCAGGGCUCACGCUGAACAAAGUCAUAAAAUGCUCCUCACUGUUCAACAAUAGAAGUGUCCAAGUGUGAGCUUGACGUUUGACUGUUUAGCAUUGAUUUUGACUUCAGUUAUGGAACAUUUAGAUUUAGUUCACUGACCUCUUCAAUAUGAGCCUGUUGUGAGACUUAAAAAAAAAAAAAAAAGGAGCCAGCAUGAUAUAUUGGCUAAGGUUUAGUCUAGGAUUCAAGAGAUGCAAGUUCAAACCCCAUUCAGCUUUGGAAUACAUUAUAUCACAGCGUGGAGAUAAAAGAAAAGGAAUUCAUGCGCACUUCCUUAAGUUCUCAGCAAACAGCAUAAACAUCAGCGAUGAAAUCCAGCCAGAUCUAUCCGAACUGGUAGAGCCGGGAGCGGGAGGCUCCGUGCACCCGCCUGGACAUCAUCACGUCCCAUUUUUGACCCUCUGCACAUGUGCAGAAGAGGUGCGUGUGCUCACAUUUCCGAUCCAGUAGCGAAGGCUUGAAAUUCUGGGCUUGGACAAUCUGGAACUGCGCCGCCUGUGGUCUGAUCUAAGCGUAGUACACAAAAUUGUCUGCUACAACGUCUUACCUGUCAACGACUUCUUCAGCUUCAACCACAAUAAUACACGGGCAAACCAUCGAUACAAACUCAAGGUAAACCGCUCCAAACUCGAUUGCAGAAAAUACAACUUCAGCAACAGAGUGGUCAAUGCCUGGAAUGCUUUACUUGACUCCACGGUUACAUCCUCAAAUCCUCACAGCUUCAACCUCAAACUGUCUACUGCGGAACUCACCCCAUUCCUAAGAGGUUCAUAAAGGGGGUGUACAUAAGCGCACCAGCAUACCUACCAUCCCCGUCCUACCAUCCCCAUUUAUUCGUAUUCAUUUCCUUCAUUCAUGUCCAUGUUCAUAUUCAUAUCUGCUAUCUUGUAUAUGCCUGACAAACAAACAAAUAAAUAAAUUUAUUAAAUUUAUAUGCUGUUCAUCUCACUGGUGAGUGGCUCUGGAAACUUAUUAAUACAUAUUUUGCAAUAGAGUAGUAAAUGUUUGGAACGCUCUAUCUGAUCCUGUUGUUAGUCUCUCUAAUCCCAAUAUCUUUUACCUUGAACUGUCUACCGUGCACCUUUCAUGUUUCUUAAGAGGUCCCUAAGGGGAUGUGCAUAAGCGCACCAGCAUGCCUACUGUCCCUGUCCUACCGUUCCCAAUUAUAUGUAAUCAUUCUAUGUGUUUAUGGCUAUGUUUUGCCUAUUUAUAUCCUUUUUUUUGUGUGCAUCUUCUUUGUCCCUACUGAUAUUGGUUGCUUGAUCCCUCAGCCCAAAUUUAAAUACAAUAACAGAGUUAGAAAGGACCUUGGAGGUCUUCUAGUCCAACUCCUUGCUUAGGUAGGAAACCCUACACGACUUCAGACAAAUGGUUGUCCAACAUCUUCUUAAAAACUUCCAGUGUUAGAGCAUUUACAACUUCUGUAGGUAAAUUGUUCCGUUGAAUAAUUGUUCCGUCAGGAAAUUUCUCCUUAGUUCUAAGUUGCUUCUUUCCUUGAUUAAUUUCCACCCUUUGCUUCUUGUCCUGCCCUCAGGUGCUUUGGAGAAUAGUUUGACUCCCUCAAGCAGCCCCUGAGAUAUUGGAACACUGCUAUCAUGUCUCCCCCAGUCCUUCUUUUCAUUAAACUAGACAUACCUGCAAGCGUUUUAGCCUCCAGUCCCCUAAUCAUCUUUGUUGGUCUUCUGGUUCACUUCUGACAACAUGACAAUUUUGAAAUGUUUGGUGUAGGAAGAAAAGACAGAAAACGGCCACAUGAUAGAGACCCGCUAACAAAAGGCCAAGAAAGUAGAUAGACCUCUUUGUCAGGUGUCAUUGCAGAAGACCAUUAUCUUUGGAGGAGAACAUCUUUUUGAGUUGUUCUUUAUACUGAGAAGAUUCUAGAAGCUUAGACGUCAUUCUGAGUUAUACAGUAUGCUUAACUUGCUUGGUUGUUGUUGUUUUUUUGACUUGGCAAAGAAAAGGGAGGAAACUUCACAUAGCUAUAGGAAGACCUCGAGAUUAUUUAGGUUAGUUCUGGGUAAUCUGUGCAAUUCUUAGGAUCUUCUUUACAUUCCCGGGUUCUGUCAGUUUGCAAGAGAAACAGCUUUAUUCAUUUAUGUUUCAUACUUCUUAACUACUCAUCUUCCUUGGAGAUGGACCAGCCAGAUGGACCAUCACUGCAGAUGCACCAUCUAGCUAACAUCAGAUCUUACAAUUUUAGUACUAGGAAAUGGAGCCAUGAGGUUUUGGUGCAUGACAUUACCCUUUGAGCUAGGAGCUUUGCCACAGGCCUGGUGUUGUGUGCUGUACAACUUGGCUUUCCAGUGGUAUAUUAACUAUUAAGCAGACUAAGCACAUGUUCAGUGGCUAAGAUGCUGAGCUGGUUGAUCAAAAGGUUGGCAGUUCAGCGGUUUGAAUCCCUAGUGCUGCAUAACGGGGUGAGCUCCUGUUACUUGUCGCAGCUUCUGUCAACCUAGCAGUUCGAAAGCAGGCAAAACAUGCAGGUAGAAAAAUAGGGACCACUUUUGGUGGGAAGGUAACAACGUCCUGUGUGCCUUUGGCAUUUAGUAACGCCUGCCACAUGACCACGGAGGCGACUUUAGACAGUGGCUGGCUCUUCAGCUUUGAAACAGAGAUGAGCACCACCCCCUAGUGUCAGGAACGACUAGCAUAUAUGUGUGAGGGUAACCUUUACCUUUAGGGCACCAGGCCCAAAGGGGGCACCACAAAGUUGAGAAAGAAAAAACAACAACAAUGAAGAUUGGCUUUGUUUGUACAGUAUGUACAGAGGAGGGGGGGGGGCACCAAGAUUUGUCAGUGUUUAGGGCACCACUUAAUCCGCCACUGUUGCUGUCCUAAUAUUUCUUUUUACUUACUCUUUUCAUGUAUCUAAAUUGUGUUUAUACUUUUACCUGUUAUCUUAUAUAUAUAUAAAAUAAAUAAAUAAACUGUGUCUCUCUGUUAUUCCCCUGGAACUGCCAAUCAAUGAUUUGUGAUGAUUUGGCUCGGUAUGUUAUGCUUUUGUGUUCUGUUUAA